rnacentral:rRNA from 1 species
GAUGAACGCUGGCGGCAUGCUUUACACAUGCAAGUCGAACGGCAGCGGGGGCUUCGGCCUGCCGGCGAGUGGCGAACGGGUGAGUAAUGCAUCGGAACGUGCCCAUGUCGUGGGGGAUAACGUAGCGAAAGCUACGCUAAUACCGCAUACGCCCUGAGGGGGAAAGCGGGGGAUUCUUCGGAACCUCGCGCGAUUGGAGCGGCCGAUGUCGGAUUAGCUAGUAGGUGAGGUAAAGGCUCACCUAGGCGACGAUCCGUAGCGGGUCUGAGAGGAUGAUCCGCCACACUGGGACUGAGACACGGCCCAGACUCCUACGGGAGGCAGCAGUGGGGAAUUUUGGACAAUGGGCGCAAGCCUGAUCCAGCCAUGCCGCGUGAGUGAAGAAGGCCUCGGUUGUAA